rnacentral:rRNA from 1 species
GACGAACGCUGGCGGCGUGCCUAAUACAUGCAAGUCGAACGAGAGCGACCGGUGCUUGCACUGGUCAAUCUAGUGGCGAACGGGUGAGUAACACGUGGGUAACCUGCCCAUCAGAGGGGGAUAACAUCCGGAAACGGAUGCUAAAACCGCAUAGGUCUUCGAACCGCAUGGUUUGAAGAGGAAAAGAGGCGCAAGCUUCUGCUGAUGGAUGGACCCGCGGUGCAUUAGCUAGUUGGUGAGGUAACGGCUCACCAAGGCCGGGAUGCAUAGCCGACCUGGGAGAGUGAUCGGCGACAUGAGGACUGAGACGCGGCCCAAACUCCUGCGGGAGGCAGCAGUAGGGAAUCUUCCGCAAUGGACGCGAGUCUGACGGAGCAACGCCGCGUGAGUGAAGAAGGUUUUCGGAUCGGAAAGCUCUGUUGUUGGAGAAGAACAAGUGCUAGAGUAACUGUUAGCGCCUUGACGGUAUCUAACCAGAAAGCAACGGCUAACUACGUG